UGAGGAAUAUUGGUCAAUGGGAGAGAUCCUGAACCAGCCAAGCCGCGUGAGGGAAGACGGCCCUAUGGGUUGUAAACCUCUUUUGUCGGAGAACAAAACCCGGGACGUGUCCCGGACUGCGUGUAUCCGAAGAAAAAGCAUCGGCUAACUACGUGCC
rnacentral:rRNA from 1 species